UACACUCCUUCGGGAGGCAGCAGUGGGGAAUCUUGCGCAAUGGGCGAAAGCCUGACGCAGCCAUGCCGCGUGAAUGAUGAAGGUCUUAGGAUUGUAAAAUUCUUUCACCGGGGACGAUAAUGACGGUACCCGGAGAAGAAGCCCCGGCUAACUUCGUGCCAGCAGCCGCGGUAAUACGAAGGGGGCUAGCGUUGCUCGGAAUUACUGGGCGUAAAGGGAGCGUAGGCGGACAUUUAAGUCAGGGGUGAAAUCCCGGGGCUCAACCUCGGAAUUGCCUUUGAUACUGGGUGUCUUGAGUAUGAGAGAGGUGUGUGGAACUCCGAGUGUAGAGGUGAAAUUCGUAGAUAUUCGGAAGAACACCAGUGGCGAAGGCGACACACUGGCUCAUUACUGACGCUGAGGCUCGAAAGCGUGGGGAGCAAACAGGAUUAGAAACCCGGGUAGUCCCAUGA
rnacentral:rRNA from 1 species